CCCAGGGAGGACGGCCACUGGGUCGUGGUGGGGGUCACCUCCUGGGGGAAAGGUUGUGGCCGUAGCUGGAUCAACAACAAGGCCAAGUCGUCGGCCAAGAGAGGAUCCCCGGGGGUAUUCACUGACGUCAAGAUGCUCCUGCCCUGGAUCAAGAUGAAACUCAGAGAAGCAGAUGCUAACCCAAACCAAAGGCCCAACUCAAGACUGUGCAGUGUGAGGGAUGGGCUUGUGAGCGGUAGUGAGGGUCUCAUCAGAAACCCAAGCCUCUCAGGCCAUCUCUACAACAACAAUGAGUGGGUGUAAUCCAGUGACAGUGCACAGGCCCGUUGCAGACGGGGAGUGAGGGAGAGCUGUGCUGAACUGAAUGCGCUCAUUGAAUGCCCUUGAAUUAAGUAUGCUUUUAGGACUAUUUAUUUUCCGACCAAUUUGCCCUCACCACUCCCCGGCUGGCACAGAACAUUCUAACCACCAUAUGUUUCUUAGAGCUUGGUGAGAGGGGGAGUGGUUAUGGUUAUUUAGCAGACAACCUUCCCACAACUUUCUGGAAAUGUUGAAGCAUAGUUUCUUGGCUUUGGAACAUUCUCAGCACAUUUUUAUGAACUUGACAAAAAACAUAAUUGUCCUGCUAUUUAAAGGGAUACUUCAGGAUUUUGGCAAUGAGGCCCUUAAUCUA